UACGAAGGGGGCUAGCGUUGCUCGGAAUCACUGGGCGUAAAGCGCACGUAGGCGGCUUUUUAAGUCAGGGGUGAAAUCCUGGAGCUCAACUCCAGAACUGCCUUUGAUACUGGGAAGCUUGAGUCCGGGAGAGGUGAGUGGAACUCCGAGUGUAGAGGUGAAAUUCGUAGAUAUUCGGAAGAACACCAGUGGCGAAGGCGGCCUUCUGGACAGUGACUGACGCUGAGAUGCGAAAGCGUGGGGAGCAAACAGG
rnacentral:rRNA from 1 species